rnacentral:lncRNA from 1 species
UCAGACAGGAUGAGAGGAGGAUAAGGCUAAAGACAGAGGCUCCAGCUACCUUGGUGACAAGGAAUGGAGGAGAAAAGGAACAGGAAAUUUUAAUAAGAUUAGGAGGGCUUGCUUUUCUGCCAAGUGAGCCGCUUUCACAGGAGCGAUAAAUUGGAAAUGUUAUCUGGCUUGAUAUGCCAGUUUUUCUGAGAAAAUCACUCUGCCAGUGGUGACAGAAUGGAAGAGCUGAAAACAUCUUCUUUUUUCAAAGUCAUAUGUCACGAACCAAGGAGACUCCAAAAAAUAAAUUAUGGAAGAUUAUGACCACUGCUGCCAAGGAUACAGUGAAAUAGAGUUUGUGGCAUCUGGUUUUAACUCCAAUAUGUAAAGAGCUUGGAAGCCAUCUUUCCUUCCACCACAACAAGAAAACAGCUGAACUGAAAAUCAAUGACUUUUCUUAGAUCCAUUAAAGAAUUGAGAUUGCAGGACACACUACCACCCUGAAAACUGGAGAGAGGAAAAAUACAGAGAGGAAGCAGAUCAGCUUACCUGAAGCAGAGGCCGCUGGAAUCUGUGACAGGUGAAACUGAAGAGGCUGCAGCUUUGAGAAGACACAUGAUUUUCACAUGUUCACACAGCAAGUGCAAU